CUCAACUGUGUAUCCCUGGCUGG
rnacentral:piRNA from 1 species